CGCAAGACCAAAGAGGGGGACCUUCGGGCCUCUUGCCAUCGGAUGUGCCCAGAUGGGAUUAGCUAGUAGGUGGGGUAACGGCUCACCUAGGCGACGAUCCCUAGCUGGUCUGAGAGGAUGACCAGCCACACUGGAACUGAGACACGGUCCAGACUCCUACGGGAGGCAGCAGUGGGGAAUAUUGCACAAUGGGCGCAAGCCUGAUGCAGCCAUGCCGCGUGUAUGAAGAAGGCCUUCGGGUUGUAAAGUACUUUCAGCGAGGAGGAAGGUGUUGUGGUUAAUAACCGCAGCAAUUGACGUUACUCGCAGAAGAAGCACCGGCUAACUCCGUGCCAGCAGCCGCGGUAAUACGGAGGGUGCAAGCGUUAAUCGGAAUUACUGGGCGUAAAGCGCACGCAGGCGGUCUGUCAAGUCGGAUGUGAAAUCCCCGGGCUCAACCUGGGAACUGCAUCCGAAACUGGCAGGCUAGAGUCUUGUAGAGGGGGGUAGAAUUCCAGGUGUAGCGGUGAAAUGCGUAGAGAUCUGGAGGAAUACCGGUGGCGAAGGCGGCCCCCUGGACAAAGACUGACGCUCAGGUGCGAAAGCGUGGGGAGCAAACAG
rnacentral:rRNA from 1 species